GCCGGGCGCGGUGGCGCGCGCCUGUAGUCCCAGCUACUCGGGAGGCUGAGGUGGGAGGAUCGCUUGAGUCCAGGAGUUCUGGGCUGUAGUGCGCUAUGCCGAUCGGGUGUCCGCACUAAGUUCGGCAUCAAUAUGGUGACCUCCCGGGAGCGGGGGGCCACCAGGUUGCCUAAGGAGGGGUGAACCGGCCCAGGUCGGAAACGGAGCAGGUCAAAACUCCCGUGCUGAUCAGAAACAACCCUGCCCUCAAUAACUAGUGGGUGUUCAAUGGAAGGUAUUACAAACCCA
rnacentral:SRP_RNA from 1 species